rnacentral:rRNA from 1 species
GACGAACGCUGGCGGCGUGCUUAACACAUGCAAGUCGAACGGAAAGGCCCCUUUGGGGGUACUCGAGUGGCGAACGGGUGAGUAACACGUGAGUAACCUGCCCUUGACUUCGGGAUAACUUCAGGAAACUGGGGCUAAUACCGGAUAGGAAUCCUUGCUGCAUGGUGGGGGUUGGAAAGCUUCGGCGGUUUUGGAUGGACUCGCGGCUUAUCAGCUUGUUGGUGGGGUAGUGGCUUACCAAGGCUUUGACGGGUAGCCGGCCUGAGAGGGUGACCGGCCACAUUGGGACUGAGAUACGGCCCAGACUCCUACGGGAGGCAGCAGUGGGGAAUAUUGCACAAUGGGCGGAAGCCUGAUGCAGCAACGCCGCGUGCGGGAUGACGGCCUUCGGGUUGUAAACCGCUUUCAGCAGGGGCGAAGCUUGUGGUGACGGUACCUGCAGAAGAAGCACCGGCUAACUACGUG